rnacentral:rRNA from 1 species
CCUACGGGGGGCUGCAGUGGGGAACAUUGGACAAUGGGGGGAACCCUGAUCCAGCCAUGCCGCGUGUGUGAAGAAGGCCCUCGGGUUGUAAAGCACUUUCAGUGAGGAAGAACGCCUGGUGGUUAAUACCCAUCAGGAAAGACAUCACUCACAGAAGAAGCCCCGGCUAACUCCGUGCCAGCAGCCGCGGUAAUACGGGGGGGCGGGCGUUAAUCGGAAUUACUGGGCGUAAAGCGCGCGUAGGUGGCUUGAUAAGCCGGUUGUGAAAGCCCCGGGCUCAACCUGGGAACGGCAUCCGGAACUGUCAAGCUAGAGUGCAGGAGAGGAAGGUAGAAUUCCCGGUGUAGCGGUGAAAUGCGUAGAGAUCGGGAGGAAUACCAGUGGCGAAGGCGGCCUUCUGGACUGACACUGACACUGAGGUGCGAAAGCGUGGGUAGCAAACAGGAUUAGAUACCCUGGUAGUC